rnacentral:rRNA from 1 species
AACGCUGGCGGCGUGCUUAACACAUGCAAGUCGAACGGACAGACAGAGAGCUUGCUCUCUUGAAGUUAGUGGCGAACGGGUGAGUAACGCGUAAUCAACCUGCCCUUCAGAGGGGGAUAACAACGGGAAACCGUUGCUAAUACCGCGUACGAUUCAUAGGUGGCAUCGCUUGUGAAUGAAAGGUGGCCUCUAUAUAUAAGCUAUCGCUGAAGGAGGGGAUUGCGUCUGAUUAGCUAGUUGGAGGGGUAACGGCCCACCAAGGCAAUGAUCAGUAGCCGGUCUGAGAGGAUGAACGGCCACAUUGGGACUGAGACACGGCCCAAACUCCUACGGGAGGCAGCAGUGGGGAAUCUUCCGCAAUGGACGAAAGUCUGACGGAGCAACGCCGCGUGAGUGAUGAAGGUCUUCGGAUUGUAAAGCUCUGUUAAUCGGGACGAAAGAGUUCUGUGUGAAUAAUGCAGAAAAGUGACGGUACCGGAAUAGAAAGCCACGGCUAACUACGUGCCAGCAGCCGCGGUAAUACGUAGGUGGCAAGCGUUGUCCGGAAUUAUUGGGCGUAAAGCGCGCGCAGGCGGCCUAUCCAGUCUGUCUUAAAAGUUCGGGGCUCAACCCCGUGAUGGGAUGGAAACUAGUAGGCUAGAGUAUCGGAGAGGAAAGCGGAAUUCCUAGUGUAGCGGUGAAAUGCGUAGAUAUUAGGAAGAACACCAGUGGCGAAGGCGGCUUUCUGGACGAAAACUGACGCUGAGGCGCGAAAGCCAGGGGAGCGAACGGGAUUAGAUACCCCGGUAGUCCUGGCCGUAAACGAUGGGUACUAGGUGUAGGAGGUAUCGACCCCUUCUGUGCCGG